UAAGGUCCACUGCUUUUAGGAAGGUUU
rnacentral:piRNA from 1 species